rnacentral:rRNA from 1 species
AUUGAACGCUGGCGGCAGGCCUAACACAUGCAAGUCGAGCGAGCGGCGGACGGGUGAGUAAUGUAUGGGGACUGCCCGAUAGAGGGGGAUAACUAAUGGAAACGGUGGCUAAUACAGCAUACUAUCGGAUAACCCAUAUGGGAUUAGCUAGUAGGUGGGGUAAAGGCGCACCUGGGCGACGAUGUCGAGCUGGUCUGAGAGGAUGAUAAGCCACACUGGGAAUGAGACAAGGCCGAGACUCCUACGGAGGAAGCAGUGGGGAAAAUUGCACAUUGGGCGCAAGCCGGAUGCAGCCAUGCCGCGUGUACGAAGAAGGCCUUAGGGUCGUAAAGUACGUUCAGCGGGUAGGCGUUACCCGCAGAAGAAGCACCGGCUAACUCCGUGCCAGCAGCCGCGGUAAUAC